GGCCCAAUCGGUGCAACAACUGGUUCAGCAAAUCCCGGCUGUGGAGUCCUGCGUUCCAAAGCCAUCCUCUGCUCCUCUGUCUCAUUAUACUGUGGCAGAAGGGGCUCCAGUAAUGGAACGGAGAUGGACUGGCAUAAUUUGGGAUGCCAUUCUGGAAGUUGUGUCUCCCCAGGAUCUGGCCCAUUAUGGGUUCCCAGUAAAUGGACCAAGCCAGCCCCGAACAUCAACAACCCAUCUCAACCCUACGACUACAACAGCGACUCCGGCGAGCAAUAGCCGCGUGGUGUACAGACAUCAUCCAUAGUGCCGCGACUGCCAGGCUGCUACCGGUAUUCCCUCAGCAGAUGGCAGAAAACAUCUCAUCGGGAAGGCCUCUUGGCCACUGGGAACUGCCAGGAGCAAUUAGCGGUUACAAGAAUCAGAAGUGCACUAAUUGUGGGGUCGGGUACAGUUAUUGAUCCAGUGCGGGGGCUGUGGUAUUUUUACUCAUUGGGAUACUGAAACUGUAGGUAAAACUGGUGUGCCGUGUGGUCUUAGCUUACUGACGAGGAACGCUUUGUAGAAGUGUGUAGCACAAAUCUAGUGCGUUCUUAUAGACAGUGGUUGGUGUGCUGAUAAGCGUGCCUUGCUUACUGUAAUGCUCGCAAAGAAAUGGUUCAAGAUGUGAUUCCUACUACCUGGCUUGUGCCAAAAGAAAAAGGGGAAAUUGUAGGAGAGUGGCUCAGGGAGCAAAAAUUUGUGAGCUCGAGUGCUAUGUGCACAGCCCAGGCUAUGAGACUUUGAAGCUGUCAAAGCAGGAAGAAGAACAAAGGCUUCAGUUAAGAUAAGGGGUAGCUAGCCUGGGAAGAGAUCAAGACAGAGGAAUGCGAAGAACAGUGAAAAAAGCCGUGUGAUGAUUAAUGCUGUACAAAUAGCUAGCGAGCAAGACGCGUGAUUUCUGUGUGCUAACCAAUUAUCAGAUGCCGUGUGCACCCUGUAUUUCUAUAUAAGUAUGGGCUGAUUCUGGCAAUAAAAACCCCUUUAGAAGUUUCCACCAUUA